rnacentral:rRNA from 1 species
UACAGAGGGGGCAAGCGUUGUUCGGAAUUACUGGGCGUAAAGAGCGUGUAGGCGGUCCGGUAAGUCGGGUGUGAAAGCCCCGGGCUCAACCUGGGAAUUGCAUUCGAGACUGCGUAGCUAGGGUGCGGAAGAGGGAAGCGGAAUUUCCGGUGUAGCGGUGAAAUGCGUAGAUAUCGGAAGGAACACCAGUGGCGAAAAGCGGCUUCCUGGUCCAGCACCGACGUUCAGGCACGAAAGCGUGGGGAGCAAACAGG